rnacentral:rRNA from 1 species
GGAAAAGAAACCAACAGGGAUUGCCCCAGUAACGGCGAGUGAAGCGGCAACAGCUCAAAUUUGAAAUCUGGCCCAGGCCCGAGUUGUAAUUUGCAGAGGAUGCUUUUGGCGCGGCGCCUUCCAAGUCCCCUGGAACGGGACGCCAGAGAGGGUGAGAGCCCCGUGCGGUCGGACGCCAAGCCUGUGUGAAGCUCCUUCGAAGAGUCGAGUAGUUUGGGAAUGCUGCUCUAAAUGGGAGGUAGACCCCUUCUAAAGCUAAAUACCGGCCAGAGACCGAUAGCGCACAAGUAGAGUGAUCGAAAGAUGAAAAGCACUUUGAAAAGAGGGUUAAACAGCACGUGAAAUUGUUGAAAGGGAAGCGCUCGUGACCAGACUUGCGCCGGGGCGAUCAUCCGGCGUUCUCGCCGGUGCACUCGCCCCGGCGCAGGCCAGCGUCGGUUCGGGCGGGGGGACAAAGGCGCCGGGAACGUGGCUCCUCCGGGAGUGUUAUAGCCCGGCGUGCCAUGCCUCCGCCCGGACCGAGGUCCGCGCUCUGCAAGGACGCUGGCGUAAUGGUCACCAGCGGCCCGUCUUGAAACACGGACCAAGGAGUCAAGGUUUUGCGCGAGUGUCUGGGUGCCAAACCCGCACGCGCAAUGAAAGUGAACGCAGGUGAGAGCUUCGGCGCAUCACCGACCGAUCCUGAUGUUCUCGGAUGGAUUUGAGUAGGAGCGUAGGGCCUUGGACCCGAAAGAUGGUGAACUAUGCUUGGAUAGGGUGAAGCCAGAGGAAACUCUGGUGGAGGCUCGCAGCGGUUCUGACGUGCAAAUCGAUCGUCAAAUCUGAGCAUGGGGGCGAAAG